AAGCCACGGCUAACUACGUGCCAGCAGCCGCGGUAAUACGUAGGUGGCAAGCGUUAUCCGGAAUUAUUGGGCGUAAAGAGGGAGCAGGCGGCAGCAAGGGUCUGUGGUGAAAGCCUGAAGCUUAACUUCAGUAAGCCAUAGAAACCAGGCAGCUAGAGUGCAGGAGAGGAUCGUGGAAUUCCAUGUGUAGCGGUGAAAUGCGUAGAUAUAUGGAGGAACACCAGUGGCGAAGGCGGUCGCCUGGUCUGUAACUGACACUGAGGCACGAAAGCGUGGGGAGCAAAUAGGAUUAGAUACCCUAGUAGUCCACGCCGUAAACGAUGAGUACUAAGUGUUGGAUGUCAAAGUUCAGUGCUGCAGUUAACGCAAUAAGUACUCCGCCUGAGUAGUACGUUCGCAAGAAUGAAACUCAAAGGAAUUGACGGGGGCCCGCACAAGCGGUGGAGCAUGUGGUUUAAUUCGAAGCAACGCGAAGAACCUUACCAGGUCUUGACAUCGAUCCGACGGGGGAGUAACGUCCCCUUCCCUUCGGGGCGGAGAAGACAGGUGGUGCAUGGUUGUCGUCAGCUCGUGUCGUGAGAUGUUGGGUUAAGUCCCGCAACGAGCGCAACCCUUAUCCUUAGUAGCCAGCAGGUAGAGCUGGGCACUCUAGGGAGACUGCCAGGGAUAACCUGGAGGAAGGUGGGGAUGACGUCAAAUCAUCAUGCC
rnacentral:rRNA from 1 species